rnacentral:lncRNA from 1 species
GAGACCAUCUUUUUCCGGCCCAGUAAAUUAAAAAGAAGAAACCAAACCCUAAAAGCAAUUGAUUCCCCUUUUCUUUCCAACGGGUUGGUGGAUUUUCUGAGGUUCGAGACUGGAAAAGGUGGGCCUGGUGGUUGGUGGUUGAUUCAACAGCACAAUAGCGGUUCUAUAUUCGAGUCUAGAACUCGUUGAAAAGAUCAAAAGAAAGCCAUGGAACUUGUGGAGUUGUUAUAUUGGACAAGCAAUCUCUCUCUUUCCUUGUUAAACCAAGACAAUAUUAGCGUAACGAUUCGGGUUCAAGUAUUACUGAUUCAGUCGUUUUUCGAGUUUAAAUUAUGUGAAUUUCAAAAAUAUAUGCAAACUAAACUAUGUAUAUCUCCUGUAUUUUCUAAUGAAUUACAGAUUUGAAGUCUUUAAUCUUGCCUAGUGGGAUUGUGGUGGUUUGUUGUUGUCAAAAGGCAAAGACCCAAAGAGGAGAGCACCACAAAUAUCAGUCAAAACUCAAAAAUGGUUGGAAAGGACCGGCAACCCCCAAAAUUUCUGGCUAAGCGUACAGAAAGAGAAGAAGACUUUUCUUGUUUUCUGGAAUAGGAACAACGAAGAUGAAUGGGUACCCAAACUUCCUCUAGGCCUUUUAGACCAUUCCUUCAAUACUUGACUUCACUGAGAUGAGAAAAUGAAACAAUAUUUCCAGGGACCACGUUUCUGUGAUCUUUUUUUUCUGUAAUGGAUCAUCAUUUUAGUGGGAUUUUAUGACUUUUUCUCUAUAAAUCCGUCAAUGCAGUUUGUCGGCCAUCGUCACAAUUCAUCAGUUGAAAACAAAAAAAUGGCUAAGCUUCGUAUUUCUGUACAG